GAUUAAGUUAUUAAGGGCGCACGGUGGAUGCCUUGGCACUAGAAGCCGAUGAAGGACGUUACUAACGACGAUAUGCUUUGGGGAGCUGUAAGUAAGCUUUGAUCCAGAGAUUUCCGAAUGGGGAAACCCAGCAUGAGUUAUGUCAUGUUAUCGAUAUGUGAAUACAUAGCAUAUCAGAAGGCACACCCGGAGAACUGAAACAUCUUAGUACCCGGAGGAAGAGAAAGAAAAUUCGAUUCCCUUAGUAGCGGCGAGCGAAACGGGAAGAGCCCAAACCAACAAGCUUGCUUGUUGGGGUUGUAGGACACUCUAUACGGAGUUACAAAGGACGACAUUAGACGAAUCAUCUGGAAAGAUGAAUCAAAGAAGGUAAUAAUCCUGUAGUCGAAAAUGUUGUCUCUCUUGAGUGGAUCCUGAGUACGACGGAGCACGUGAAAUUCCGUCGGAAUCUGGGAGGACCAUCUCCUAAGGCUAAAUACUCUCUAGUGACCGAUAGUGAACCAGUACCGUGAGGGAAAGGUGAAAAGCACCCCGGAAGGGGAGUGAAAUAGAACCUGAAACCGUGUGCUUACAAGUAGUCAGAGCCCGUUAAUGGGUGAUGGCGUGCCUUUUGUAGAAUGAACCGGCGAGUUACGAUUUGAUGCAAGGUUAAGCAGUAAAUGUGGAGCCGUAGCGAAAGCGAGUCUGAAUAGGGCGUUUAGUAUUUGGUCGUAGACCCGAAACCAGGUGAUCUACCCUUGGUCAGGUUGAAGUUCAGGUAACACUGAAUGGAGGACCGAACCGACUUACGUUGAAAAGUGAGCGGAUGAACUGAGGGUAGCGGAGAAAUUCCAAUCGAACCUGGAGAUAGCUGGUUCUCUCCGAAAUAGCUUUAGGGCUAGCCUCAAGUGAUGAUUAUUGGAGGUAGAGCACUGUUUGGACGAGGGGCCCCUCUCGGGUUACCGAAUUCAGACAAACUCCGAAUGCCAAUUAAUUUAACUUGGGAGUCAGAACAUGGGUGAUAAGGUCCGUGUUCGAAAGGGAAACAGCCCAGACCACCAGCUAAGGUCCCAAAAUAUAUGUUAAGUGGAAAAGGAUGUGGCGUUGCCCAGACAACUAGGAUGUUGGCUUAGAAGCAGCCAUCAUUUAAAGAGUGCGUAAUAGCUCACUAGUCGAGUGACACUGCGCCGAAAAUGUACCGGGGCUAAACAUAUUACCGAAGCUGUGGAUUGUCCUUUGGACAAUGGUAGGAGAGCGUUCUAAGGGCGUUGAAGCAUGAUCGCAAGGACAUGUGGAGCGCUUAGAAGUGAGAAUGCCGGUGUGAGUAGCGAAAGACGGGUGAGAAUCCCGUCCACCGAUUGACUAAGGUUUCCAGAGGAAGGCUCGUCCGCUCUGGGUUAGUCGGGUCCUAAGCUGAGGCCGACAGGCGUAGGCGAUGGAUAACAGGUUGAUAUUCCUGUACCACCUAUAAUCGUUUUAAUCGAUGGGGGGGACGCAGUAGGAUAGGCGAAGCGUGCGAUUGGAUUGCACGUCUAAGCAGUAAGGCUGAGUAUUAGGCAAAUCCGGUACUCAUUAAGGCUGAGCUGUGAUGGGGAGAAGACAUUGUGUCUUCGAGUCGUUGAUUUCACACUGCCGAGAAAAGCCUCUAGAUAGAAAAUAGGUGCCCGUACCGCAAACCGACACAGGUAGUCAAGAUGAGAAUUCUAAGGUGAGCGAGCGAACUCUCGUUAAGGAACUCGGCAAAAUGACCCCGUAACUUCGGGAGAAGGGGUGCUCUUUAGGGUUAACGCCCAGAAGAGCCGCAGUGAAUAGGCCCAAGCGACUGUUUAUCAAAAACACAGGUCUCUGCUAAACCGUAAGGUGAUGUAUAGGGGCUGACGCCUGCCCGGUGCUGGAAGGUUAAGAGGAGUGGUUAGCUUCUGCGAAGCUACGAAUCGAAGCCCCAGUAAACGGCGGCCGUAACUAUAACGGUCCUAAGGUAGCGAAAUUCCUUGUCGGGUAAGUUCCGACCCGCACGAAAGGCGUAACGAUUUGGGCACUGUCUCAACGAGAGACUCGGUGAAAUCAUAGUACCUGUGAAGAUGCAGGUUACCCGCGACAGGACGGAAAGACCCCGUGGAGCUUUACUGUAGCCUGAUAUUGAAAUUCGGCACAGCUUGUACAGGAUAGGUAGGAGCCUUUGAAACGUGAGCGCUAGCUUACGUGGAGGCGCUGGUGGGAUACUACCCUAGCUGUGUUGGCUUUCUAACCCGCACCACUUAUCGUGGUGGGAGACAGUGUCAGGCGGGCAGUUUGACUGGGGCGGUCGCCUCCUAAAAGGUAACGGAGGCGCUCAAAGGUUCCCUCAGAAUGGUUGGAAAUCAUUCAUAGAGUGUAAAGGCAUAAGGGAGCUUGACUGCGAGACCUACAAGUCGAGCAGGGUCGAAAGACGGACUUAGUGAUCCGGUGGUUCCGCAUGGAAGGGCCAUCGCUCAACGGAUAAAAGCUACCCCGGGGAUAACAGGCUUAUCUCCCCCAAGAGUUCACAUCGACGGGGAGGUUUGGCACCUCGAUGUCGGCUCAUCGCAUCCUGGGGCUGUAGUCGGUCCCAAGGGUUGGGCUGUUCGCCCAUUAAAGCGGUACGCGAGCUGGGUUCAGAACGUCGUGAGACAGUUCGGUCCCUAUCCGUCGUGGGCGUAGGAAAUUUGAGAGGAGCUGUCCUUAGUACGAGAGGACCGGGAUGGACAUACCUCUGGUGUACCAGUUGUCGUGCCAACGGCAUAGCUGGGUAGCUAUGUGUGGACGGGAUAAGUGCUGAAAGCAUCUAAGCAUGAAGCCCCCCUCAAGAUGAGAUUUCCCAACUUCGGUUAUAAGAUCCCUCAAAGAUGAUGAGGUUAAUAGGUUCGAGGUGGAAGCAUGGUGACAUGUGGAGCUGACGAAUACUAAUCGAUCGAAGACUUAAUCAA
rnacentral:rRNA from 1 species